rnacentral:rRNA from 1 species
CUACGGGCUGCUCCAGUGGGGAAUAUUGCACAAUGGAGGAAACUCUGAUGCAGCAACGCCGCGUGGAGGAUGACACUUUUCGGAGCGUAAACUCCUUUUAUAUAGGAAGAAGAUGACGGUACUAUAUGAAUAAGCGCCGGCUAACUCCGUGCCAGCAGCCGCGGUAAUACGGAGGGUGCAAGCGUUACUCGGAAUCACUGGGCGUAAAGAGCGUGUAGGCGGAUUAAAAAGUCAGAAGUGAAAUCCUAUAGCUUAACUAUAGAACUGCUUCUUAAACUCUUAAUCUAGAAUAUGGGAGAGGUAGAUGGAAUUUCUGGUGUAGGGGUAAAAUCCGUAGAGAUCAGAAGGAAUACCGAUUGCGAAGGCGAUCUACUAGAACAUUAUUGACGCUGAGACGCGAAAGCGUGGGGAGCAAACAGGAUUAGAUACCCGUGUAGUC